rnacentral:rRNA from 1 species
CGGCAACAGCUCAAAUUUGAAAUCUGGCUCUUUCAGGGUCCGAGUUGUAAUCUGGAGAAGCGUUUUCCGCGUUGGACCGUGUACAAGUCUUCUGGAAUGGAGCGUCAUAGAGGGUGAGAAUCCCGUCUUUGACACGGACUACCAAUGCUUUGUGAUACGCUCUCGAA